UCAGCCUGUGUAUGUUUCUGGUGUGGCAUUUGCCGUUGUUGCAGCCUUGAAAGAUGAUGGUAGCAACAUGGGAAAAGUAUAUGAACUUGGUGGGCCAGAUGUGUAUACAUUACAUCAAUUGGUGAUUGAUUCUCAUGAUUUCUUUUGUCCUGUUCAAAAUUCAAACUAAGAUUGAGUCAUCAUAAUUUGAUCUUUAUUAUUUUUACAGGCUAAGCUUAUGUACAAAGUGAUUCGAUAAUGGCCUCAUCAUGUUAAUUUGAUCUAUGACUAAACUGCCCUUCCUAAGUUGGUGGUUGAUUUUGGCUCUCUUGAACUUUCACCUGUUGAUGGAAGGACAUUGAUGGGCGUACACUUUUGGAGUCAUCUAAAACAUCUUUGGAUAAAGGCAAACUUGAAGAUGCUGUCAACUUUGGAACAAAGGCACUGUCUAAACUUGUAUCUGUAUGUGGUCCUUAUCAUCGAAUGACAGCUGGUGCAUAUAGUCUUUUGGCUGUGGUGCUUUAUCAUACUGGUGAUUUUAAUCAGGCUAUUAUCUACCAACAAAAAGCUUUGGAUAUAAAUGAGAGGGAACUUGGGCUCGAUCAUCCAGAUACAAUGAAGAGUUAUGGGGACUUGCCUGUUUUUUACUACAAGCUCCAACACACUGAGUUGGCUCUCAAGUAUGUUUUUUUUUCUUUCUUAAAAACAAUAAAAAUUUAUCAUAGAAAAAUAUGAGAAGAAUGUAUUUUCCAGGUGGCGCACAUGUUGAGGAG